UUGAUCCCACGCAACCUCCUCGUCUCGCUCGCUCUCCCCUUUCUCCGUUGCCCCACGCCGCGACAUCCCCCUCCCGUCAGCGAUGGAGGCCCUGCAACCCAUGGGGACGGUGACGGUGGCCUCACGGGGGUGGCCUCGUCGACAACCUCGACUGGGUGGACGAACCAACGUCGGCUGGUGUGCCCGGCGACGAGUUCCCGUAAUUGUUGGUCAUUGCUACCUAGACCAGAUCGGAGCACGACAAGAUCCGCCACCACUAACCUUGCGUGCAGGGAGCUCCUUUCCUUUCUCAUCCCUUGUAUUUCUCUUCCUUUGCUUAUUCUCCUCUGUUUCUGCCGUGGUGUAGCAGACCAUGGAGGACUACUGGAAGCGCACUUCGUGCAGUCGCCGGCUUGCGCAUGGACAAAGAGGAGGGAUUAAGAGGUUGGAGGCCAUGGAUGUUGGAGCCCACAAUAGAAUGUUCAUCUAUAGCAAGAAUGAAGAUAGUUCCCGCAAAAAAAAAAACAAGAAUGAAGAUAGUUCAUCAGAAAAUCAAGCGAGGACUUUGAGAAAAUGGGAUUCCUUCUCCCUUUCUCCCUCUCUAUCACUACUGAUGAUCACAUGUUUCCCUCGAUUUUUAGUUUAUUUUGGUUAUCCGUGUCAUCGUGUGCUUUCAGUUAUAUUGUUUCCUAAAUGAAAAACAAAAGUUAGUAGGAGCUAUGUCUGAUCAUAUCUGUUUCAUGUGUUUGUUGUUCACACUGCUGGAAUUUUCUAAUGUUGUUUGUCUCAGGUUGUUCAUCUCAGCUUGUGAAUUUUAUAAUGUUGUUUGAUAACAGAUAAGUUUUCCCAGACAACUUCCAUGGGCAGAUUGUCAUUGACUCACUUGGUAUCUGGUACUUACUAGCAUACUUUUACUACUUAAGUGCUAAGAACAUUUUGAAUUAACUGAAGGUAGCUUGCUUCUGUUUUAUGGUACAUUCAUACUAAUUAUAGCUGACAGAAAAUGUGAUUUGUCAGCAUGAAGGUAAAAGAUGGGAAGGUAUAAUGCUCAUGGGCCUCAGUGCUACUAUCAUAUAGAGAUAACUGCUGCAAAGUUCAUAUAAUGGUCCCUGUUUCUUUUAUUGGAAUAUUGACAUUGUUUUCAAAGAUUCAAUUUAGUUGGAUUGAGUUUCUGUUUUAACUUUCUAACAUGUGCAUGCAGAUGAACUAAGAAUUAAAGGUAGUACUUAUUUAAAGUUUCUUUUUCCAUUGAAAUGUGCAGUUUUACACAUUUCUAUGCCCCUUUUCCUAUUUGUGUGCAUCAAACAGUAGAAAUCAAUGUUAAUAUUCUUUAUCUGCGAGCUAACUGAGAGGCAUGUCCUUUUUAUGUCAAGCUGAGAGUUUAAUUGUCACAAUGAAAUCUAGGGAACUAAGGCAGGAGAAUGGGAUUUCACAGGGUAAUUUAAUUAUAGCCUUUGCUUACAGUUUCCUUCUCUACAUUAGGAGUUUCAAUUCUGCAAUUGUUUCUCUCUGUUUUCAUAAAGUUGUGUAUUUUCUAAAUAGUAUAUGAUUGCUGGUUUCAGCAAUAUAUCAUGUGUCUACCACAACCCAGGAUGCAAGGGCUUUAUCUAUGUCUUUUAUUUGUUGUAUCAUAAACAUCAUCUAUGCUUAGUUUGCGCAUAUUAUGUUGGUACUUGAUACUUCAACGGCGUGGUAUAUCUCCCACACCAUCAGCUCUUUCCUAUAAGGAUCCCAAAACAUGGAUUAGUGGUAUGCAGCUGAAGGAGUUACACUUAGAUCAGCUGUUGAAGGAAACCAUAUGUUAUUGUUACACAUUUCACCUGUGUUCAUGAAUAGAAACUAAAAUGUGCAUAGACUGUAGUCUUAUAAUUGUUUUGCUGUCAUCUAGACUGUACCAAAUAUGCAAUUUUGGGAAAGGUCUACAUUCUAUUAAAAAUAGAAAUGGUAUGAUGCAUACUAUUUAAACUUAUAAAUGAAGCAGCAGAUCUGCUUCAUUUUCUUUUUUUUUUUUCCUUCUACAGCUCUACACUUGUAUCCAGAAAUUGAUGAUGUUACAGGAAAUAGCCUCGAAAUUUUUAGACUACCUGCUUCAAUACAGAACUUUGGGUUAACGCUCGGAUAGUUAUUUUAUUUAUGCAGGGAAAAUUACAAUGCAUGUUCGUUUUUUGUUGUUGUUAGGAAUUGUUUUGUUUUAUGAUAUGGAUUUGUGUGUAUUUUAUCUCAUCCGAUAUCAAACUCAUAAUGAUGAACAUCUUAUCUAAACUCGUCGUACUUCUCUUUCUUGCUUCAGGUUGGGAAGCAGUCAAUUGGUGAUCAUCGAACGUGUCGGAACUUCCAAGGAAAUGUCUCUCUGUGGCUAAAAUACAUCGGUUUUCCCCUCAAGUCACUAAACUGCAAUGCGUAGUUGGUCGGUCACUGUCAAUUGAAUCUCGGAAUUGAAAUGUCUUGCCGUUUUACAAUUCUUGUUUUGCUUCACAAUCUUCUCUGUUAAAUAAACCUGUUUGUAUAUAUGAAACAACACCUUUUAGUAUCUAUGAAACUAGUACGCUUGCUCUGCUUUA